rnacentral:rRNA from 1 species
AUUGAACGCUGGCGGCAUGCCUUACACAUGCAAGUCGAACGGUAACGGGCCUUCGGGUGCCGACGAGUGGCGAACGGGUGAGUAAUGUAUCGGAACGUACCUUUCAGUGGGGGAUAACGUAGCGAAAUUUACGCUAAUACCGCAUAUUCUGUCAGCAGGAAAGCAGGGGAUCGCAAGACCUUGCGCUGAUUGAGCGGCCGAUAUCAGAUUAGCUAGUUGGUUGGGUAAAGGCUCACCAAGGCGACGAUCUGUAGCGGGUCUGAGAGGAUGAUCGGCCACCAUGGAGCUGAAGCACGGCCCAGACUCCUGCGGCGGGCAGCGGUGGGGAAUUAUGGACAAUGUGGGCAACCCUGAGCCAGCGACGCCGCGUGAGUGAAGAGGGCCUUCGGGUGGUAAAGCUCUUUCGGCCGGGAAGAAGUCGUAUGGGUUAAUACCCUGUGCGGUUGACGGUACCGGCAUAAGAAGCACCGGCUAACUACGUGCCAGCCGCCGCGGUAAUAC